rnacentral:rRNA from 1 species
UACGGGGGGGUAAGCGUUGUUCGGAAUUACUGGGCGUAAAGGGCUCGUAGGCGGCCAACUAAGUCAUACGUGAAAUCCCUCAGCUUAACUGGGGAACUGCGUGUGAUACUGGAUGGCUUGGAUUUGGGAGAGGGAUGCGGAAUUCCAGGUGUAGCGGUGAAAUGCGUAGAUAUCUGGAGGAACACCGGUGGCGAAGGCGGCAUCCUGGACCAAUAUUGACGCUGAGGAGCGAAAGCCAGG